rnacentral:rRNA from 1 species
AAUGCAGUGCCCGAACAGGGCGUUGUAAUUGGAAUGAGAACAAUUUAAAUCCCUUAUCGAUUAACAAUUAGAGGGCAAGUCUGGUGCCAGCAGCCGCGGUAAUUCCAGCUCUAAUAGCGUAUAUUAAAGUUGUUGCAGUUAAAAAGCUCGUAGUUGGAUUUCGGCGUGCGCUCAGGCUGGUCGGCCGUCAAGGUCUGUACCGUUUGGGUCACGCCCCACUGUAGGAUACUCACCGCUGUCCUUAACUGGGUGGCGGUCAAAGGGGGUGUGCAUGGGGGCAACUCUGUGCAUAUCUCUGGGGUUCCUACUCUUUUACUUUGAGCAAAUUAGAGUGUUCAAAGCAGGCAAUCGAGCCUUGAAUACUUCAGCAUGGGAUAAUGGAACAGGACUGGGGUCCUGAUUUCGUUGGUUUCUGGGAUCUCAGUAAUGAUUAAUAGGGAUAGUUGGGGGCAUUAGUAUUUAAUUGUCAGAGGUGAAAUUCUUGGAUUUAUGAAAGACUAACUUCUGCGAAAGCAUUUGCCAAGGAUGUUUUCAUUAAUCAAGAACGAAAGUUAGGGGAUCGAAGACGAUCAGAUACCGUCGUAGUCUUAACCAUAAACGAUGCCGACCAGCGAUUGGGAGACGUUACAUGGAUGACUCCCCCAGCAGCUUGCGAGAAAUCACAAGUCUUUGGGUUCCGGGGGGAGUAUGGUCGCAAGGCUGAAACUUAAAGGAAUUGACGGAAGGGCACCACCAGGAGUGGAGCCUGCGGCUUAAUUUGACCCAACACGGGGAAACUUACCAGGUCCAGACAUAGUAAGGAUUGACAGAUUUGAGAGCUCUUUCUUGAUUCUAUGGGUGGUGGUGCAUGGCCGUUCUUAGUUGGUGGAGUGAUUUGUCUGGUUAAUUCCGUUAACGAUCGAGACCUUAACCUGCUAAAUAUGUCACUGGUAGACUUCUGCCAAAACAGGUGGGUGUCUAGGGGAAAGUUUCGAUGGACUCCGACGCAUUCAUCUGUGGAUGACUACCAGGAUGUACUUCUUAGAGGGACUAUCUGUAUCAAAGCAGAUGGAAGUUUGAGGCAAUAACAGGUCUGUGAUGCCCUUAGAUGUUCUGGGCCGCACGCGCGCUACACUGACAAGUUCAACGAGUUUAACACCUUGCUCGAUAGGGCUGGGUAAUCUUUGAAAAACUUGUCGUGAUGGGGAUAGAUCAUUGUAAUUAUUGGUCUUCAACGAGGAAUUCCUAGUAAGCGUGAGUCAUCAGCUCGCGUUGAUUACGUCCCUGCCCUUUGUACACACCGCCCGUCGCUCCUACCGAUUGAAUGAUCCGGUGAAAUGUUGGGAGCUGGGGUCUUUUGGCGGCGGGGCAACUCGUCGUCAGGGAUUCUGCAAACUUCAUUAAACCUUAUCAUUUAGA